rnacentral:rRNA from 1 species
UUCUACUGCCAUGCUACCCCGAUCCCAUCUGAUCUCAGAAGCUAAGCAGGGUUUGCCUGGUUAGUACUUGGAUGGGAGACCACCUAGGAAGACCAGGUACUGUAGGCA